GUGAAAUCAGUAUGGAAAACAUGAUUGUCAUUUCUCUUUCUAUAGAGGAGAAAACAGCACUCAGAGACCAAAUUACCGUGGUCCUAAUACUGUGCUCAGUGCUGAUCUGUGUAUUUAAGGCUCUGCAAGCCUAUUUCCUCCAAUAUUGAUUGAGGAACUUUUAUCUAUCCAUCAUAAUGAAACAUAUUGCAAUGAAGCCAAGUGAGUAUCUUUACCAAGGUGAGAGGUGCAUUCGGCAGAGCGGUGCUAAGAAAUAAAUGUAGGUUUGAAUAGGAAGACAAGCAGACAGACAGAUAGGAAUCAGAUUCGAGAGAAGAGAGAGGCUCAAAGACCAGCAGAGGAGCUUCAGAUUGGAGUAGGGAGCCUCCAUGGGUCUUAAGCAGCAAUGACUCAGUGUGUUUUAGAAAGAUAAGUUUGGCAACAAUUAACAGAAUGGUUUGAAGAUGGGGAGAGACGACUCUGGAAAGCUAGCUAGAAGAAGUUCAAAUCAGUGCCUUUCAAAUUUUAGCACGGGUACAAAUUACUGGAGGAUCUCAUUACAAUGCGCUGAUUCAGUAAGUCUGGGAGGGACCUAAGAUUCCGCAUUUCUGACUAGCUCCCAGGUAAUGCCAACAGUGCUGGUCCAUGCGCCCCCCCCUUGCGACUCUGAAGGGUUCAAAUAUUGGCAUCACCUGGUAACUUGUUAGAAAUGCAAAUGCUCAGACUCCACUCUUUAAUUUAUUUUUAAUAGCUCAUUAUAAUUAUGCCUAAUAGUCGGAUUCAUUAUGACAUGUUGGUACAUAUCAGGUUCGACUCUUGACCUACCGAUUCAGAAACUCUGGGGUUGGCCCCAGAAAUCUGUGUUUUAUCAAGCCCUUGGGGAUUCUCGUGUGCAGCCAAGUUUGAGAACACUGUGCUAGAAAAGAUUGACAGAUGAUAGGACUAGAAGGUCCCCAUAACUGGACAUCCCAAGACUAGUUCUGUGAUGUGGGUUAAGACAUUUUUGCUGUCCCAAGGCAUUUGGUGGCACAACAAUGUGGGUACACAUAAUGCCAUUGAACAUUUUAAAAUGUAUCCACUUAAAAUGGUUGAAGUGGUAAAGUUUGUAAUACGUCUGCUUUACCACAUUUUCAUUGGUUCUUUUUAGUUAUACAUGACAGCUGAAUCCAUUCGGACAUAAUUAUACGCAUGCAAUACACCUUGUUCUAAUUCAGACCCCAGUACCUCUCCUUCCCCUUUUCUCUCCCCACUCCCAGCUCCCUUCCCUCUGUGAUUUAUCUGCCACUUACCCAUAGUUAUUUUUUAAAAUUAAUUUCUUGGGUUUUUAAAAUUUUUUUUAAAUGUACACAAUGGUGAGACUCACCAUGGUAUAUUUACAUAUGUACAUAGGAACAACAUUUUUAAAAACUGUGUUAAACUGAAGUCAUGUGCCCUCUCUAGUUGCC
rnacentral:lncRNA from 1 species